UUGGAUUUCUCGGCAGGAGUGACCGGUCACGCACUCUGUGCGUGAACUUGUGUUGUCUCUGGCCAUCCUUGGGGAGAUCCUGUUUGGCAUUAAGUUGUCGGGCAGGGGAUACCCAUCGUUUACUGUGAAAAAAUUAGAGUGUUUAAAGCAGGCUUAUGCCGUUGAAUAUAUUANCAUGGAAUAAUAAGAUAGGACUUCGGAACUAUUUUGUUGGUUUGCGUUACGAAGUAAUGAUUAAAAGGGAUAGUUGGGGGUAUUCGUAUUCAGCUGUCAGAGGUGAAAUUCUUGGAUUUUCUGAAGACGAACUACUGCGAAAGCAUUUACCAAGGAUGUUUUCAUUAAUCAAUAACGAAAGUUAGGGGAUCGAAGAUGAUUAUAUACCAUCGUAGUCUUAACCAUAAACUAUGCCGACUCGGGAUCGNAGGUUGUUUUUUGACUCCUUCGGCACCGUAUGANAAAUCAAAGUCUUUGGGUUCCGGGGGGAGUAUGGUCGCUGGCUCA
rnacentral:rRNA from 1 species